AACUUUUAACAACGGAUCUCUUGGUUCUCGCAUCGAUGAAGAACGUAGCAAAGUGCGAUAACUAGUGUGAAUUGCAUAUUCAGUGAAUCAUCGAGUCUUUGAACGCAUCUUGCACCUGCUGGUAUUCCAGCAGGUACGCCUGUUUCAGUAUCAGAA
rnacentral:rRNA from 1 species